AUGCAGUUAAGCAAGCAUUCAUAUUGCAUUCAUCGAUGCAUGUUUGUAGUUAGCAAGAGAAUAGUAAAUACUAAAAAAAUACAUGUGAUAGUCAAAGAAAAAACUUGGUUGAAUGUUUGGUUGAGGUUGCAGCCAUUAAGUUUCUACUCUGUGAAGUAUCAAUCAAUUUGGUUGACAUUGAGGUUGGUUCAUGAUAUUGCACUGUGUUUUCUGUAUGCCCCCAUUGCCCCUAUCUAA